AUUGAACGCUGGCGGCAGGCCUAACACAUGCAAGUCGAACGCGUGGCGGGCGGGUGUGUAAUGUCUGGGAAACUGCCUUUUGGAGGGGGGUAAAUCCUGUAGACAGUAUCUAAUACCGCGUACCCUCUGAUGUGCCCAGAUGGGGUUAGCUAGUAGGUGGGGUAACGGCUCACCUAGGCGACGAUCCCUAGCUGGUCUGAGAGGAUGACCAGCCACACUGGAACUGAGACACGGUCCAGACUCCUACGGGAGGCAGCAGUGGGGAAUAUUGCACAAUGGGCGCAAGCCUGAUGCAGCCAUGCCGCGUGUAUGAAGAAGGCCUUCGGGUUGUAAAGUACUUUCGGUGACGAGGCGUUAAUCGCAGAAGAAGCACCGGCUAACUCCGUGCCAGCAGCCGCGGUAAUUC
rnacentral:rRNA from 1 species